AUAAAAGAAAAUAAAAAUAACUGUCGAAAAAAAAAACGGCCAGAAUUCUCAGAAUAAAAGUAAUAAAGCAAUUCAACCUGUCGUUAUCGAUAAAGUCAAAAAAAAUGAAUAUAAGUCAUGACAUUCCAAAAAUAUAUCGCAUGCUUUUAGUUGAUUACCAAUCCAUUACCUUCAACGAACAUAGCAAUAAUUUUGCAGCGCAAUACAUUACUGCCAAAUCUCGAAAAAGUAAGAUUACCGUUUAGUUCGAUAUCAGCUUCCUUCCAGGUUGAGCUCAGCUCUCGCAUUAUCGCUUAUCUCGCCUAUCAAAAAACCUUUUACGGUGAGGGCAAUCACCGUUCGCCUGAUUGAUUCCAUUUUAUCCAGUGUCAAAUAAGACUGCUCGCUGACUAGCUCGCUGCUCACAGUAGGUAUGACAUAGUUAGUCAAUUGCCACUGCCUCGCGUAUCGUUCAAGUUCAAACACAGUCCCGCAUCCGAAGCCGGGAUAUCGUAGUUGUUUAGUUCUAUACUGAGACGCUAACGCACACGUGAAAGCCAACCAUGAUGGAAGUGGUGACCCGUCCAGUCCGAUCCCUGGUCGACCAGCUUACAAUUUUGGUGAAACUUCCGGCGGCCACAGUCUACAUUAUCGUCAAAGGUGUUUUCCUAAUAAUGAAUACGAUAACAAAGUUUGGUCGGAUGAUUAGCCAGUGAUACACCAUGACCAAGGUUUCGGUGCAAAUGCAGCACAAAGUGGUCGGUCGUACCGGACCGGACCGGAGUCAGUUUAUAAUACAUUUCGUGUUAGAUUAUAUACGAUGUCAUCCAUGGAUAGAAAUUAAGUGAUACUUGCGAUUAAUGCUAAAAUGGUAUUUUUAUUGCUUCCUAACAAGAUGUGCCAGAGCUUAUUUUAUAAUUAGAAUAUGUUGAAGAUGUGAAAAAAUAAAUUUUAACUAAAACAUA